rnacentral:tRNA from 1 species
ACUUUAAUAAUUUAAAAUAAAAUAUUGGUCUUGUAAACCAAAAAUAAGAUUACUCUUUUAAAGUA